CACGUAGGCACCAAGCGUUGUCCGGAUUUAUUGGGCGUAAAGAGCUCGUAGGCGGUUUGGUAAGUCGGGUGUGAAAACUCUGGGCUCAACCCAGAGAGGCCACUCGAUACUGCUAUGACUUGAGUACGGUAGGGGAGUGGGGAAUUUCUAGUGUAGCGGUGAAAUGCGCAGAUAUUAGAAGGAACACCAGUGGCGAAGGCGCCACUCUGGGCCGUAACUGACGCUGAGGAGCGAAAGCAUGGGUAGCAAACAGG
rnacentral:rRNA from 2 species